UACGUAGGGUGCAAGCGUUAAUCGGAAUUACUGGGCGUAAAGCGUGCGCAGGCGGUUUUGUAAGUCAGAUGUGAAAAUCCCCGGGCUUAACCUGGGAACUGCGUUUUGAAACUACAAGGCUAGAGUGUGGCAGAGGGGGGUGGAAUUCCACGUGUAGCAGUGAAAAUGCGUAGAGAUGUGGAGGAACACCGAUGGCGAAGGCAGCCCCCUGGGUUAACACUGACGCUCAGGCACGAAAGCUGGGGGAGCAAACAGG
rnacentral:rRNA from 1 species